ensembl:lncRNA
UAGAGAGAGGUAGAGGUGAGGUAGAGGUAGAGGUGAAGUAGAGGUAGAGGUGGGGUGGGAUAGAGGUAGAGGUAGAGAGAGAGAGGUGGGGCAGAGAGAGGUAGUGGUGAAGUAGAGGUAGAGGUGGGGUAGAGAGAGGUAGAGGUAAAGUAGAGGUAGAGGUGGGGUAGAGAGUGGUAGAGGUGAAGUAGAGGUAGAGGUGGGGUAGAGAGAGGUAGAGGUGAAGUAGAGGUAGGGUAGAGAGAGGUAGAGGUGAAGUAGAGGUAGAGGUGGGAUAGAGGUAGAGAGAAAGAGGUGGGG